CUGUUCAAUCUGAAAGUCGUUUAUUUUCAUGUUGAUGUUUUUCUUGCUGCCUCGGGCUAGGUUUGAAACCACCAAGUCGCAGUUGUCCCCAUGUGCUAAAAUCAAGAAAUCGUCCGCAAACUGAUACACGUCUGUCACUGAGUCCUCAAUACUAUGAAGUUCUUUUGUGUACACGUUGAAGAGUAGUGGCGAGAGACAGCUACCCUGUGGUAGGCCAUCCUCAACCACUAUCGAUUCGUUGCCAAGAAGUAAUUCCAGGUCCGCUAACAUAGUAUGUAGUUUGUUCAAAGACACACAAUAAUAGGCGUUGCUUAUGUCCAGGGUCAGGACCACAGCCUUUUGCCCUGCGUGUUUAAUAUUAGCAACUUUGUGUAGGAAUUCAUUAAUGCACAUGGCUGCAGAUUUACCUUUUCGAUAAGCAUAGCUUCUGUCUGGAUAUGAAUUUUUACUGUUUAGAAAUUCCUCUAGUCUACCCUUGACCAUGAGAUUUAUUGUCUUUAUGAGAACAGAUAUCAGAGAUAUCGGUCGAAAAUUCUUAUAAUCACUUACGUCCUUGUCCGCCUUGGGUAUCGGUACCACCCUUAUUCUACGGAGUGAGUCGUCAAUUUUACAAUUUUGAAAAGCAUCAUUAAAAGAAAUUAGUAGGUUUUUUUGCGCCGUUUCCGACCGAGCUCGUAGCAUUUCGUAUGUGAUCUGAUCACACCCCCCUGCUGACCUUUUCGUUUUCUUUUUUAGAACAUUUUUCAGUUCCUCUUCCCCAAAAGCAGGCACCCAUGACUCCAGGACAUCCACUUUUUGUGCAAUUUCAUUAUUAUUGGUAUUUGCAUCUUGUCUAACCUGAUUUUUCAGAUGCUGCAGGUACACUCUAUUGUUCGUGUCGUCCCACUGUUGUUUGGAUUCCGAAGAUCCCGCAUUUUUAAUAUUUUUUAAGAAUUUCCAUGCCUCUCUGGUGUUGGGGUGACUAUUGAGUGAGUUAAGAUUUUUGCUGUAGUUUUCCUUUUUAGCUUCUUCUACCGCGUUUUUCCAGUUUUCCUUGGCUUCAGUCGCUUCCU